rnacentral:snRNA from 1 species
UGAAAUCCAACACUAAUC